rnacentral:tRNA from 1 species
GAGGAUGUGGCUCAGUGGUAGAGUGCUUGCCUAGCAUGUGUGAAACCCUGGGUUUGAUCCCCAGCACCACA